rnacentral:rRNA from 1 species
UGGAGUCUGCAACUCGACUCCAUGAAGCUGGAUUCGCUAGUAAUCGCGCAUCAGCCAUGGCGCGGUGAAUACGUUCCCGGGCCUUGUACACACCGCCCGUCAAGCCAUGGGAGCCGGGGGUACCUGAAGUGCGUAACCGCAAGGAGCGCCCUAGGGUAAAACUGGUGACUGGGGCUAAGUCGUAACAAGGUACC